CAUUCUUGAGAAGCCUUUGGAAGAGCUUUGAUGUUCAACCGAAUGAGGAACUAAAAUAGUUAGUGACCAUGCUGAGUAGGAAAUUGCUUAAGGGUGAGGAAACAGUUAGUUGGUUAUUUGAUUAGGAAUGAAGGAUGAAAGGAUGGCUUAGACCCAUUAUUUGUUUUCUUCUAUUUAAAAAAAGAUGUGGCUAAGUAGUGAUUAGCAAGAUGAUUGCAUGAUCUAAACAGCUAUUAUAUGAUACUAAAUUAUUGUUAAAUUAAGGUGGGGAUAAUAAAUACAUCAGUUUAGGUAGUUAAAGGGUUGGUUUGCACCAAUUGAAACAUGGGGGAUGAAUGUCACACUUUUGCAAUAGUUCAGAGAUAAAAAAUACACUUUUUCCUUAAUAUUAUAUAUAGAUAUUUGGAUCUCUAAAUUCAUAUAUAUCAAGUGAGAGCAUUCAAGAAUAUUUUAAUAAACAUAUUUCUUUGAACCAUAUAUCUUGUUUAGACUUCAAUAGUUUAUACUACAUUGAACAAUGCAUAAAUGUCAUGACCAACAAAAACAUAUACGAAAGCGAAGAGCAACUGCAAUUACUUAGGCAUUAUGCCAUUUCAAGAUUGUGCAAAGGUAAUAAAACGUGCCAAUGGACACUCUAAAAAUCCUUACCCUACCGAGAAAAUUC
rnacentral:lncRNA from 1 species